AGCUAGGUUGCUCAGUGGAUAGAGCACCAGGCUUGAAGUCAGGAAGACCUGAGUUCUAGCCUCAGACUCUUACUA
rnacentral:tRNA from 1 species